AUGAUCAUGAUCAAUGUACAAGCUUCAACAGUCAUCCAAUCUCUGGGAAAACUAGAAAGAAAAAAGAGAAAACUAUUCAACAUUCACACAAUGAUUCCUAAAAUUCAUGCUUCAUUUGGUGUUGUAUCCUCCCUGAUUUCGUGUCUCUGCAGUUCAUACUCAAUGCUCUCUGUAACAACUUUUCAAAGAGGUUCUUCAACUUCUUAA